GUGCCCGCCCUAGUGGGGGCAGUGGGGUCGGGAAAGGGACAUUCCCCCCGAGGCAAGCGACGGGCCGCGGCUCCGAGUCCCCGCCUUGGGCUCGACGGUCCCCAAGGGCGGCACGGAUUCUUUCGCCAAACCCUCCGGGAGGCGACAGACUGGCCGCGUAGAGCCUCCCCGUCGGGUGCCUCCGAGCUUGUGGCCCGUGAGCCCCGGGUGACCCUAAGCAAGGGCGCCGGGCUCUCCAGCUGCGCGCCUCCCGCCGAGUCACGGACGCCUGGGCGAUAGCCUUUGGAACCGAGCGACGCCGAUUCUCUGGCUGCAGAAGGGGCUGGUCUGUCACCAGGAAACUUCAAAUUGAAAGUCUGCGGGUGGUGCCGAAGCCUUCCCGCCGCACCUUUACCAACCCUGGGGAAGACACAGCUCCUCUGAACGCGCAGGACGCGCCUCCGGCCCUCGCCCGGGCACAGGAGACCGUGCACCCAGCGGCUCUGCCCCCGCCGGCGCUGUGAAUUCUUUAGAAACGGAGCUGCGGCGCUUAGAGCUUAGAGCCGGUCGGUCCCGACCGUCCUUACCGCCCCUUGCCUCACUGCGAGGUCGGUCCGGUCCUGCAGCCUUGCAUGCCCUUGCAUCUGGAAUGCUUGGCCCAGGAUUCCUGCCACCUGCGGGUGAUUGGAAGGUUCUCUUGUAUUUGUUCAUGGACUAACCCUCUUGCCAAAGAGCUCUCCAACCAGAGAAUUGGGAUUUUUUGCUUUCUACUCUGCCAAGCAAUCAUGGCUCAUCAGCUCACCGGGCCACACAGGGCCACAUCCUCUGGGUUACAGGCAGAGCAAUGCUCAGGGCCUGGAGCUUCGGGUGCCAGCAGAAGAGCUGGGUGAGCCAAGCAGAACAGCCGUCUGUGAGUGAGUCACGGUUCCAGGACAACCAGCAAAUGGCCCAGCACCUGCUUGCCCAAUUCACCCGCACCUGCCAGCCUUACCAGAGAGUUUUGGCCACUGGACAGUCAUGGUGGGACAGGCCCAAACUGAUCACCCCUCCAGAGAAAGUGACAGAUGUUAGUGCCAGUGGGUCCUGCCCUCCCAUCAACAGAUGUCAAGACAUGAAAAAUUAGGGUAAAUGAAGGGUGCACGAUUAGAUUCGGGCCCAAGCUGGGUUCUUAUGGGUGCCAGAGACAGCUGCAAAGGCACGUCAGAGACAAUUGCCCUGAUGCGGCGGUGGCUGCCAGGCAGGCCAGGGUGCCUGGGGACAGCUGGACAAGGUGCUGACACGGGGCUCAUUCCUCUGUGAAGUAGUCUCUCAGCUGCUGGGAAUUGCCGCCAGCCCUCAGGUUUGUAUGUGUCCUGGCUCUAGAGCCGAGCUAGAGGAGCUGUGGGCCCAUCGGGGACAUGGGCCCACCUAGGGAUCUCAGCUUGUUUGUGGGUCUCCACAACACUAGCCCCAAGCUUGAGCUGACAGCUUCUUUCAGGGGAGCCCCACCCUUUUCUCCCACCUCCUUUUCUCAGCUUUCUCUCUGGCUCGGCCCUGGGUCCUCCUGUGACCAGCCCCAAGCACUUGGGCCUCAUCUCAGCACCUCACAGCCUCUCCCUUAUCGGCUUGACUUUUUCUCAUACUGUAUUUUACUUGAAAAUGUAGGUUCAGUAGUGCACCCCUCCCCAGUCCCCUGGUGCUGGUGAGCGGCUGCUUGGUGGAGACCCCAGUGUGCCUGUGGCACAGGCACUGAGCUGUUGGCUGACUGCAAAGCAUCCUGGUGCCUCUCCAGCACGAGCUCUGGGCACUGUGGUGGGCCCAAAGUUUGCAGGAAAGGUUUGCUUUGUUUUUAAGUGGAGCAUCUUCGUGGGGCCUAAGACAUACCCACAUCUAAAUAUUAUUCUAAAACUGUUCCAUGUUCCCUAAUAUAGAUGAAGAGGUAAGUUUGGUGUGAAUGACAUGACCUAUCCUCACAGGUAAAACAGCAGUGCCUUGUAGGUGAUUCUGAAACAACAACAGGGCUUUUUUUUUUUUUUAGUUGUGUGGGUUUUUUUAAGUGAAAUUCACAUAAUGUAAAAUUAAGCCUUUUUAAGUGUACAAUUCAGUGGUAUUUAGUACUUCCAUGGUACUGUGCCACUACCACCUCUAUCGGGUUCCAGAGCAUUUUCCUCACCCACAAGGAAACCCUGCACCCAUUAGCAGCCACUCCUCUCCCCCUCCCCCAGCCCCUGGCAACCAUGGAUCUACUUUGUCCUGUGAAUUUGCUUAUUCUGGACAUUUCAUAUAAAUGGAAUCAGGCAA